UCCUAUUACGAUUUAUUCACUUGUUUCUGAUUUCUAUUGAGCUCCUAUAUCAUAUGUGAUUAUCUACAGCUUUACAUACUCAGUACAUAUUUCGUACUGACGUCCCCCACGGGGGACCUGCAUUUCAUGCUGCAGGCACAGGUACCUCAGCUCAUACACCGCACAAGUAGGAGCCAGGAUAUCUAGCUGCUUUUGGUGAGCUCCAGUUUGCUUCGGGGCUUUUCGUGUCAUAUCCAGUCACUUUUGGUAUUGUAUAGAAGUUAGUUAUAUGGCGGGGUGUGUCCCGACCUUAGUUAAACUCUGUGUAUUGUGUAGAGGCUUUGUAGACCUAAUGUACAGUCAAG
rnacentral:lncRNA from 1 species